GUAACGGCGAGUGAAGCGGCAACAGCUCAAAUUUGAAAUCUGGCCGCAAGGUCCGAGUUGUAAUUUGCAGAGGAUGCUUUUGGCGAGGUGCCUUCCGAGUUCCCUGGAACGGGACGCCAUAGAGGGUGAGAGCCCCGUACGGUAGGACCACCGAGCCUUUGUAAAGCUCCUUCGACGAGUCGAGUAGUUUGGGAAUGCUGCUCUAAAUGGGAGGUGUACGUCUUCUAAAGCUAAAUACCGGCCAGAGACCGAUAGCGCACAAGUAGAGUGAUCGAAAGAUGAAAAGCACUUUGAAAAGAGGGUUAAAAAGUACGUGAAAUUGUUGAAAGGGAAGCAUUCAUGACCAGACUUGGGCUUGGUUGAACAUCCGGCGUUCUCGCCGGUGCACUCUGCCAGUCCAGGCCAGCAUCAGUUUGCCCCGGGGGACAAAGGCGGUGGGAAUGUGGCUCUCUCCGGGGAGUGUUAUAGCCCGCCGUGUAAUGCCCUGGGGCGGACUGAGGAACGCGCUUCGGCUCGGAUGCUGGCGUAAUGGUCAUCAAUGACCCGUCUUGAAACACGGACCAAGGAGUCGUCUUCGUAUGCGAGUGUUCGGGUGUCAAACCCCUACGCGAAAUGAAAGUGAACGUAGGUGAGAGCUUCGGCGCAUCACCGACCGAUCCUGAUGUUCUCGGACGGAUUUGAGUAA
rnacentral:rRNA from 1 species